AUUGAACGCUAGCGGCAGGCUUAAUACAUGCAAGUCGAGGGGCAGCAUGAUUGUAGCAAUACAAUUGAUGGCGACCGGCAAACGGGAGCGGAACACGUACACAACCUUCCAACAAGUGGGGGAUAGCCCAGAGAAAUUUGGAUUAAUACCCCGUAACAUAGCGAUGUGGCAUCACAUUGCUAUUAUAGAUUUUUCGCUUGUUGAUGGGUGUGCGGCUGAUUAGAUAGUUGGCGGGGUAACGGCCCACCAAGUCUACGAUCAGUAGCUGAUGUGAGAGAAUGAUCAGCCACACGGGCACUGAGACACGGGCCCGACUCCUACGGGAGGCAGCAGUAAGGAAUAUUGGACAAUGGACGCAAGUCUGAUCCAGCCAUGCCGCGUGAAGGAUUAAGGUCCUCUGGAUUGUAAACUUCUUUUAUAAGGGACGAAAAAAGGCUUUUCUAAGUCGUCUGACGGUACCUUAUGAAUAAGCACCGGCUAACUCCGUGCCAGCCGCCGCAGUAACAC
rnacentral:rRNA from 1 species